UACGUAGGUGGCAAGCGUUGUCCGGAUUUACUGGGCGUAAAGGAUGCGUAGGCGGAUAUUUAAGUCAGAUGUGAAAUACCCGGGCUCAACUUGGGUGCUGCAUUUGAAACUGGAUAUCUAGAGUGCGGGAGAGGUAAGUGGAAUUCCUAGUGUAGCGGUGAAAUGCGUAGAGAUUAGGAAGAACACCAGUGGCGAAGACGACUUACUGGACCGUAACUGACGCUGAGGCAUGAAAGCGUGGGGAGCAAACAGG
rnacentral:rRNA from 1 species